rnacentral:lncRNA from 1 species
UGUGGAGCCUCCUUAAGUUUCCCUCAUAUGUUGUUGUUUUUUUGUUUUUUUUUGUUUUUUGGUUUUUUUUGUUUUUGUUUUUUUUUUUUUGCCUGAAACUCACUGUGGAGGUUAUGAUGGUCUGGAACUUGCUAAGGAAGCCCACGUUGACUUUGAUGUUGCUAUGUAGCCCAGCCUUGCCUUGACAACUUUAUGUAGCCCAGGCCAGCUAUGGACUCGCUAUGCAGUCCAGACUGGUCAUGAUCCUCCCUCCUCAGCCUCCUACAUUCUGGGAUUUCAGAAGUGAGCCAUCAUGCCUGGCUUGCCUUGGAGUUUUGAAGACCUUUAAGACCAGGACAACUUAAAGCUGAUGUGGUGGUCCAGAGAUGAGAUGCUACACAGUGUGUCAGCAAUGAGAAGGCAGAUGACUCGUCUAGCCUGGACCAUACUCCAGGGCUCGUUCUAUGGGGAAGACACCCUUCUGAAAAGCACACGCGUUAACUGCCUGACUCACGUGGUGACACGUGGCAAGCCCAAAUGCGUUAUGGAUCUCCCAGGAAUAAAAACAACACGGCGAAACCAUCACCUAG